GUCGGGAAUAUUGCGCAAUGGAGGAAACUCUGACGCAGUGACGCCGCGUAUAGGAAGAAGGUCUUCGGAUUGUAAACUAUUGUCGUUAGGGAAGAGAAAGGACAGUACCUAAGGAGGAAGCUCCGGCUAACUACGUGCCAGCAGCCGCGGUAAUACGUAGGGAGCGAGCGUUAUCCGGAUUUAUUGGGUGUAAAGGGUGCGUAGACGGGAAAAUAAGUUAGUUGUGAAAUCCCUCGGCUCAACUGAGGAACUGCAACUAAAACUAUUUUUCUUGAGUGCAGGAGAGGAAAGUGGAAUUCCUAGUGUAGCGGUGAAAUGCGUAGAUAUUAGGAGGAACACCAGUGGCGAAGGCGACUUUCUGGACUGUAACUGACGUUGAGGCACGAAAGUGUGGGGAGCAAACAGG
rnacentral:rRNA from 1 species